ACGUAGGUGGCAAGCGUUGUCCGGAAUUACUGGGUGUAAAGGGAGCGUAGGCGGGUAUACAAGUUGAAUGUUAAAACUACAGGCUCAACCUGUAGAUGCGUUCAAAACUGAAUAUCUUGAGUGAAGUAGAGGUAGGCGGAAUUCCUAGUGUAGCGGUGAAAUGCGUAAAUAUUAGGAGGAACACCAGUGGCGAAGGCGGCCUACUGGGCUUUAACUGACGCUGAGGCUCGAAAGCGUGGGUAGCAAACAGGAUUAGAUACCCUGGUAGUCCACGCUGUAAACGAUGAUUACUAGGUGUGGGGGGACUGACCCCUUCCGUGCCGGAGUUAACACAAUAAGUAAUCCACCUGGGGAGUACGACCGCAAGGUUG
rnacentral:rRNA from 1 species